UGUGGGAGCGGGCUUGCCCGCGAAGGCGGCAGUCCAGUCAACAUUGAUAGCGACUGACACUACGUCUUCGCGGGCAAGCCCGCUCCCACA
rnacentral:antisense_RNA from 2 species